GUGAAUUUCACCAAAAGUGAUGUGCAGUGAUUGUUUGUUUUUGGAGCCGCCUACUGGUGGUUAGGCGCAACUGCAUGCAACGGGUCCUUCAGGCGCAUUCACGGCCCCUCCCACCAAAGCAGUAAUGAAAGCUGGUGGAGACCGUUGUAUGCAGUUGCAGCGCACACACACUGAUGUAUUAUUGUGUGCUUGUUUUUACAUCAGAUCCUGCCAGUAAAAAGCUCUGAAGGACA